rnacentral:rRNA from 1 species
GAGUAGUAAUAGUUAAGGUCUUAAAACUUAAAGAAUUUGGCGGUAUUUUAAUCUAGCCAGAGGAACCUGUUCUGUAAUCGAUAAUCCACGAGGACUUUACUUAGAUUUGUAGUUCAAUUUGUAUACCGCCGUUAUAGAUUAUCUUAUUAGAGAAUUAAUUUUCUGGAUUUCGUAAAAAUAUAUCAGGUCAAGGUGCAGUUUAUGUUUAAGGAAGAAAUGGGUUACAAUAAAUUUAUUUAAACGGAGAAAUAAUUGAAAUAUUAUUUUUAAGGUGGAUUUGGUAGUAAAUUUAUGUAUUUUGUUAAUUUGACUUUGGCUCUAAAAUAUGU